rnacentral:tRNA from 1 species
GCUGAUUUGGCCGAGUGGUCUAAGGCGAUGGUUUUAAGCUAACCUCUUGCAGUAGAGGUAUAGACACCAUUAUCGAGAGAUGCGUGAGUUCGAACCUCACAGUCAGCA